UUUUCUCUCAUUGAUUCAUUU
ensembl:piRNA 21ur-10855 ncRNA